GUCCAUUUGUGUGGUAAGUCAGUUGUCUCUUUAGUUUUUUCAUUCCACAUGAAGGAUGAGAAAAAUUCAUGUGGGAUGAAUUGUUGGACCCUACAUUGUUCAUCCUUUAGGGCCCAACAAUUCUGAGCUUUUGGCUAAGAAUCUAGAAUCUCUACAUGAGGCAAAGUUCUUUCCAUGGGUUCUAACGUAGCUUCUUCUUUUUCAAUGACCUAUAUAGAUUAGUAGAUAAUGCAACUGCCACUCAGUGUAUCAGUAUAUACUGAUAUACAAUGGUAUAUUGGAAAUAAAAUAGAAUGAAAUAAUAGAAUAGAAUAGAAUGGAAUGGAAUAGAAUCAGGGUAACUGCGAUAAAAAUUAUUACUUAGAAAAGGGAAGAAUGGAAAACAUAAAAACUCACUUUUCUGUAGCUUUGCUGAAAUCUUGCAGGACAAAAAUUGCUAAGAUUCUCUAGUGGCUACCUGCCAGUAAGUAACUUGAUAUCGUUAACUUACUUGAACUUGGCUCUGCUCCCUGGGAUACUCCCCUGUGCAUUGUCUUUUUGAUCUCCUGUGAUAUUAAACAUGUACUGUACAUGUACAUGUAUCUAAGUGGAUAACAAUACAAUUCAUUUUGUCAUGAAAGAGCUGUGUUUUCAAAGGCUUUUAAUAAGGUUAAAAAAAAGAUAAAAUUCCUC
rnacentral:lncRNA from 10 species